UCCGGGGCAUAUGUGCAAAAUAAAAUUCAUCUAACGGUCUUGAUUUGAAUAGCGAAAAUAAAAUGCUAGCAACAAGCAAAAUAAAGACAAAAGUUGAAAAGUAUCCUUAACAAUAAACAAGAGCUCUGCCGACAAACUUUUAAAUGAAUAUUCAUAAGAAGACGUGAUUAUUAUGUUCACGGGUUAUAAUACAAAAUCACGAGCGGAGGGACGAUUGAGCUCGAAAUCUUUCUGGACCGCAUGAUGAGGUGACUGAAAGGCACAGCGAGAAAUUUUCUUCCUGCGUGACAGUUCCAAUUUACACAGCUCUCCUCCAUUACCAUAAAUUAGGGCUCAAACUGCUCAUCUCCAUGGCAACAAGAAUCUGCUGAAUAUUAACACCAGUGAGGAGACAGUUAUACGAGUUCUGCUUUAGCCAAAGGGAUCGUUGCAAGAGGAUACUAUCAGGCUGUGACUCCGGAGACCAGGGGAACACCGGCUAUUCUGUCAUCGGUCUGCCAUUUCUAACCUGUUUCCGUUCCUGACUUGCAGGUAUAUUAGCAUUCACCCUUUUACAUUAUCUCUCUUUCUCUUUUUGUCUGGGUUCAGUUGUUCCAUUUCUAUCAUGUUUUUGAUAGCACAUGAACCUAAUGAGGUGACCUGCACUGUCAUCCUAUACAGUAUUUUUAGAAAGUAGGUGUGAAAUGUUGAAGUUUACUGCCAUGCACCUCGUUCCCUAAUCCAGGUAUACAAUCAAAUACCAACAGAGAGUUAGGUUCAUUCAUCUACA